rnacentral:lncRNA from 1 species
AUACAGGUGACCGUAUCCUGAGCCCCGGGCAGAGGCAGGACCGAGCCGCAAUCUGAACAGAAAUCCAGGUCCGACUGAAAGCUGGAGCAAGUAUUGGCGAGGUCCAUGACAGACAUGCGGUCGGGUCUGAGGAGGGAGUUGGAAGUUUAUUAACAAAAGAGAGAAGAGUUCCUGUCCCAGAGGUCGUAACUAUUCUGUCCCAGGACCUAGGAGUAUAUAACCCGAACCCUCCUGCCACGCACGCCUCCUGCCUCUGCGACCAAGGAGCCGAAACGCCCGGAAUUCCCAGACAGCGUCGGGUACUAAAGGACUUGGAACCCUUUCCAGGGGCCGGUGAGAGGAGUUAACCAACUCCGUGGGCUAGAGCGCCAGCUCUGCGCCCGCGGCGGGGCAGCGAGAUAGAGCCGGCUAGAGCGUCAGGCUUUCGCGUUGACGAUUGGCUGUGACGUCAUAAUUAAUUGCGAACCGUGUCUCGGGAGCGUUAGAGAUGGAGACUAACGUCUUCCAAGGGAGAUUGCGUCUCCACUUUCACCCUGGUACUGAGAGGUUGAGCACAAAAUUGGAACGCAGUCGCGGGGUAUAUCCCCCUGAAAACCGUACGUUGCCAAAUAAUGAUUUCUUUGGAUUAGAGAACUACAACUCCCCUGGGUCCUGAGCCGGUAUUUCCCUUUUGCGGCUGCACCGUAGUUAAAAACAAAGCUAAGUGUUCUGGGACGUAUAGUUCUAGCGUUCCUUGGGUCCCGCUGGCGAGCGUGGGCUUUCUGCAGCUCGCAACCGGCCUCGUGCUUUGCGGACGGUUCACUGCGCUUGGAAAGGGAUUGGCCUGGGGUACAUCAUCUAAAGAUCCUAGGAUUGCUGCAGGUCAGCAGUCUCCACUGGAAAAAAAGAUCUUGGAACACAGAUGAAAUGAGAAACAAAAACGAUGGAGAAAACCAAAAAAGGGGACACAUGGGAUCCAGGCAAUAGGAGAGCCAGCAUAAGAGAGAGCCAGAGGGAUGCCCAGGAUGAGGUGAAGACGAUCUUGGAAAUCAGCCCAGAUGUGCAUGCACCAGUCCACGUGUGGCAGGACCAAGGGAAGUGUCUUCACAAAGAUGAGGCUUUGAUUUGUUGGAGAAACUGUUACCAGAAAAACAGGUCCCGAUCCCGACCCCAAAAGAGUAUUCUUGGAUCUUGCACAGGAAGGAAUUAAAGGUGAGUCACAGAGUGCAGUGAGAAGGAGAUAGUUUAUUGAAAGUUACUCAGAUACAGAGUAGGUGUCCUCAGAAAGCAAAAGGAAGAAUGCACCAUCUUUGUUGUAAACUCUUCUAAUGUAGGGGUUUAAUCUACAUAAAAGCUAAGUUAAAUGUCUAUGUGUGGGUGCUCUGACAGCAUGACAAAAUUUAGGACCUAUUGAUUUAAAGAAAGUUAUCCUUGGCAUUUUAGUUAGUAUAUCAAAGCAUGACUAUAAUAAUCUUAAAAGCAUAUAUUAUAAUGUGACGUCAGGACAUGUGGACAUUCUGUUGUCUGUCAUAGGCGUUUGUUCUUGCAGGCAUUAUUAAGUUGUUUAAUCAGCUGUAAACCUCUUAUGACCAUGGGUUGUGACUGGCAAGGAAUAUGCCUUGCUAGUUGAAAGAUGGAGUUGACUUUAAAAUGGUGUCACCCUGGCUCUCCUAUGCUUCUGUUUCCCCAAAAAAGCCAGGUUACUUGUCCUGUAGAAUGAUCCACAUUCUGAGUUUGGCUAAUGACAUUCUCAUGGUAUUAACUUGUUUCUUUAUAUGUUGUUUUUUCUGUUACCCACAAAAUAAUUCUUCUGAUACACAUUUGUAAUCUUACCAUGCCAGCAUCUGCUACUCUUCAUGUUACCAAAUUUCUGUUCAAGGACCACUAAAGCCACAGUCAGUGGACAUUCUGAGACCUCUAGGGGAGGGUGGAGAUGCUGUCCUUUAAUAUAGUCUGACCCAAGCAACCUCCCCACUUGGCAUGGUGAAUCUAGACAAGCUAAAGAAUUUACUACGCCCCAGGCCUGCACCAGCCCUCUCCUAAGACCUUGGGCACUCUCAUUUCCCUUUUUUUUUUUUCUAAAGGAAGUCAUAGUUUCUCAUAACCUUUGCUAGUGAUCCUGGACCUUGGUUGUUCCCUGAGGCUGUGUUCUCCACACUGCUGCCAUCACUGCUACAGCAGAGGUGCAGAAAGCUCAGGAGAGAGAAGGGAGGAAAAGCUGAAGAUUUUGUGUUAUUCAUGCUUUCCUGACUCCGGCGAAAGUGCUUCCUCCACCUGCAACCAUUUCUGUUUCUAUACUGCUGAGUCUUGUGUUCCCAAGACCAAGGGAAGCCCAUUUUCUUUAAAGCCAGUCACAGUUUCUGUUGGCUGAUGGAAUAUCUGUUGUCCAGCAGUUGUAUUCCUGCUCACAAAUGCAAAACAGUUUGAUGCCACGCACAUUCCAGGGCUUAGACUGGAAAUGCUGUCCCUUGCCCCUUUGUUACCUUCUGACAGGGAUCAGUCCAUAGUGUAGUUGGUGUCACAACAGUCCCGAAGAAGCCUUCCAAUAGAUACCCAAAUGUGAUUCAAAGUGGCACAGGCACACACCACGGUGCCACAUGGUGCCUAUGUAAAGCAGGUAUAUCAGGAAUGCUAAGCAGAGAAGUAGCAGAACACACUGAUCCCCAUGUUCUCAUUGUACAGUUGGGUGCAAUUAAGCUGGCACAAUGGACUCUUCUCAUGGCUACUGUUCCAGUAGUGUGGAUGCCCCCAAAUGCUGCAUAUUUACUAGGACAGCCAGGCAGAGACAGCUGUGUACUAUGAUACAACAGUAGUCCCUCUUAGAGGAAGUGACCUUGUUAGAAGUGGGAGUUUCUGAAGCUCUUCAGCUGUUACUGGCCUGCUCUUCCAUAGCGUUACUUCAGACCUGCUGGCCCAGCUAUCCACUCCGCUAACAGGUCUGUCUCUGCUAACAGGUCUAGCUCUGUCUCCUCAGCACAUGUUCUAGGCUCUGACUGCAAGUGCUGACUUGGGCUCCCAGCCCCACACAGACCCUCUGUUCCAUGAAAGGGCCAUCUAUGCAAAGUGCCCCCCAAAUGCCAAAGGAGCCAAUAAACCAAGGAACAAGACAGACAAAUCUAGUUGUCAGUAAAGAGUGUUUUAUUGGGGAACUUACAGACAGAAGCGUGGUCUUGGAUGGCAGGAAGACAGGUAGGUUUCUGCACUUAUUACCCCCACACCCAGGGCUUAUAUACCACAGGGGAAGAGUAUACAUGCUCUGUGCAAGACAAAGGCUACUACUGUCCAGAACAGGUAAGAAUGCUAAUGUGUCAUAGCCUAGAAUUUGUAUAACAUCAAGGUUGACAUGUUCUUACAAUAGGGAUGGUAAAUAAAGUGGGAAUCAGGAGUCAGUCCUGGGACUGGGGCUAAUCAGAAGUCAGCAUAGAGAAUUAGCAUCCAAGAGGGAGUCACUUUUCUCUCCACAUCCCAGCCCUCUAAUCCAGCUCUUACAAUCUCAUGGACUCACAUUUCCCCCAUAGUCCCUGAGCCUUCAGAGAGGGCUGUGGGUGACAUUUUGAUGGUGUGAGUGACACAUUUUAUCAAUUUGUUUUCUACUUGUUAAGCAGGGGCCACAGCAACAACACAAACAACAGGCGAUGAUAUGUAUGCCAGGUGUAAGACACAGAAUUAAAAAUGCCCUUUACCAUGUUUAUUCAGGAACCAAACCAAGAGGUAUAGAGCAGAACAACAAUAGGAACAGAAGACUAUGGGUGGAAUUAAAAAUGUUUAGUAGGUAUUUGGUGGGGCAGUUCUUCCCCAUUAAACAGAAUUACUGGUAGCUCCAUCUCUGUUGAUUAGGAACAUAGGAUUGUGGGCUGGGAGUACACACCAAACAUGUUGCCUGAGGGGCAAAGGCGCUGGUAUUAUGUGUAAGGUUACAGGGGCAGCAAAGGACCAUGUCAAAUGGCCAGCCAGGGUGCUUCUUAAAAGGGACUGUGUUCCAGUUUAUUGGUAUGUGGAGUGUUUUGGCCCAGACUUCAGCAGGAUCAAUGGAGACCACUUUAGUUGGUAGGGAAUUCCUUGCUGUCUGGAAAGAAAUGCUCUAUCCAACAUAGGGGAAGUUGCUAGUCCAACCCCCAUUCAAGUGUCUCCUCCCUGGCUCAAGAUCUUGAGGAGUUCUAAAUAACCUUUGCCAUUGGCCUUUUAUCUGCUCAGGUCAGAGAUGCAUCUGGUUGGACUUUCUUUACUAUUAUGGUUAAUGGAUCCAUCUCUGUGGUGGUCCUGAGUCAUUGGUGUGGUGCCAGCACCAUAUUUGUCUCAACUAAAUUAAGGUUUCUAAUGGCUUGAGGCAAAAUCUUUGUCUAACUAUGAAAGAUAUUGGAUUUUGAGAGUGCUCAAAACUGUGCCUUCAAAAUACCAUUUUUCCUUUCAAUCAACCCUGUUGCUUGGGGGAGUAUACAGUAAGUGAAAUACCCAGUCUAUGUCCCUUUCAUGCAUCCAGUCUUGGACACCGUGUCUGGUGAAAUGCAUGCCUCGAUUGCUAUCAAUAUGUGGAGGGUAUCCUUACAUGACACUGAGUUGCUCCAAGCCCCUGAUGGUGGCUGUUUGGUUUGCUCUUACAAGGGAAAGCUUGCAACAAUCCCAUGGCAGUGUAUACACAUGUUAGUGCAUACUUUCGUCUCAAGAUUACUGGCAAGGGUCUGAUGUAGUCUAUCUACCAGUCUGUCACAGGGGUGGCUGUCUUAUGUAUAUGUCCAGGUGUAUGUGGGAUGUGGCAGAGGUACAGACGGGAACAAAUUAAGCAGUUUGCUACCGCCACCACUAAAUCUGCAUAGCAGAGAGCCAAUCCUGCUCCCUUUGCUAUUUGGCAGCCCAUUCAUGCACUGAAAUCCCCACUGUGAUAUGUACCUAAUCAACUAGCUCAGUAUUCUAAUUUUUGCUAGGAUGUCUGCCUCCAUGUUUCUGGGAGGUGAAUCUGACCAGUGUGCUGAAGCAAUUAGGUCCACAGUGGGUUCCUGUAGACUUUUCCAAAUGUCUUUCCACAUAUCAGCUCCCCAUAAGGAUUUUUAAAUUAUAUACCAAUCAUCUCAGGCCCUUUGGGCAAGCCAAAUUGUAAGACCCUUAAGUACUGCCAGACUGUCUGUACAGAGAACUAUAGGUGGUGGCUCACGGGUACAAACCAACCAUGUAGCUUGGAGUUCUGCCCAUUGACUGCUCUGUUGCAUUCCCAUCUCAAACCAGAUACUGUCUGUGGUUGUGCAGCUACUACUGUCCAUACACAGGGUUACCUUGGCUCAAUGCAUCUAAGUACCAAGCAUUAUCAGGAAUGAGGGCCAUGCCUUCAUGUACCAUUGGAGACAUCUCCUGUGAGGGCUCCACAAUAGGGGCAGCACUGGACUCAUAAUGUACUGGCCCUAAGAUAGCAUGCAGUUCAUCUCUUAAGGGAUGCAUGGAGAAGGCACUAUGUUGUUGCAUGUAUGCAUGGCACUUUUGUAAAGUGGAAACUUGGGCAAUAGCUGAUACAGGCCUGGCAAACACUCCUACCCAGUCCUUGAUAGGAAACCUGUUCUCCCUGGUACCAGGAAAGCAGCAGUUAUGGAUUCAACUUGUGGCAAGACCUUCUAUAUCCCCAGGACCUGUUAUUCAACUGGGAAAUAGCAGGUUUCAGUACCCUUCCAUUAAUUGUGACUAAAAUUCUAAAGGAACUGCUUCCCUAUGCUGGACUUUAUAUUUUCAUCAUCCAAAAUUAUAGUUUAGUUUUACCUUUAAAAAUAUGUUUUUUGUUCUCAUUUGUUCCAUAGGUUUCUCCUUGAAAUUUAUAUUGUAUGGUAAGGUUUCCUAUUGUUUGCAUUUUGUGGAUUGCACGCCAAGGUGUGGUUUAAUGUAUUUCUAUUACCUGUAUUUUCUGUAAAUUGGUAGUUUGGUAUAGAGGUUUGUGUACAUUCAGGGUUUUUUUUUUUCUGUAAGUAUUGAUGGUUCUGUAAAAGGAAAAUAAAAUCUUGGGGCCCCAAAAUUACUAAGCUAAAGGGAAAAGUCAAGCUGGGAACUGCUUAGGGUAAACCUGCCUCCCAUCUGUUCAGAGUCGCCCCUCUGCUCACUGAGAUAAACACAUGUCUGAUUCCCUCAUUUGGAAAGGCUAAUCGGAAACUCAAAAGAAUGCAACCAUUUGUCUCUCAUCUAUCUGUGACCUGGAAGCCCCCUCCUUGCUUCGAGUUGUCCCGCCUUUCCAGACGGAAUCAAUCUUUAGCUUACAUAUGUUGAUCACUGUCUCAUGUCCCCUUAAAAUGUAUAAAACCAAGUUGUGCUCUGACCACCAAAGUUGUGCUGAGAAGUGACACCAAAGAACAUGGUGGCAUAAGAACUCCAAGGACCCCUCCCCUCCACAGCGGCAAUGUGCUUGUUGAAACACCAGUAUAAAAAAACUCGAUGAGAGCUGUGAUUGGAUUUAGUGUUGAUAUAUUUUUUGUAAAUUGUGGUAAAACAUGCAUACUAUAUAAUUUACCUUCUAACCAUUUUUUCAGUGUACAAUUUGGUGGCAGUAAGCACAUUUACAAUGUUGUGUAACCACCGCCAAUAUCCAUUUCCAGAACAUUUUCAUCAUCCCAAACAGAAACUGUACCCAUUAAACCAUAACUGCCCAUUCUCCCUACCCCCAGCCCCUGGUAAUCUCUAUUCUAUUUUCUGUUUCUAUGAAUUUGCUUAUUCUAGCUACUUUAUAUAAGUAAAAUAUCAUAUUUGUUUUUAUUUCUGGCUUAUUUCACUUAUAGUGUUUUCAAGGCUCAUCCAAUUAGAAUUUCAUUCACUUUUAAGGCUGAAUAAUAUUCCAUGCUUAUGUGCACCGUGGGUUGUUUAUCCAGUCAUCCUCUGAUGGACACUCGGUUGCUUCCACCUUUUGGAUAUUGGGUAUAGUGCUGCUAUGGGCCUGAGUGUACACAUAUCUGGGUGAGUUCCUGCUUUCAGUGCUUUUGGGUAUGCCCAAAAGUGGAAUUGUUGGCUCAUAUAGUAAUUCUAUUUUUACUUUCUUGAGGAAUCACUAUUCUGUUUUCCAUGGUGGCUGCACCACUGUAUACUCUCACCAGCAGUGUACAAGUGUUCCAGUUUCUCCAUAUCUUCACCAACACUUGGCCUAGUGAAGUUUACCAUAUUUUUAUGUCCUUAUUGGCAUUCCUUUUUUUUUUUUUUUUGUGAAACAGAGUCUUGCUCUGUUGCCAGGCUGGAGUGCAGUGGCACAAUCUCGGCUCGCUGUAACCUCCACUUCCCAGGUUCAAGUGAUUCUCCUACCUCAGCCUCCUGAGUAGCUGGGACUACAGGUACCUGCCACCAUGCCCAACUAAUAUUUGUAUUUUUUUGGUACAGACGGGGUUUCACCAUGUUGGCCGGGAUGGUCUUGAUCUCUUGACCUCGUGAUCCGCCCACCUCGGCCUCCCAAAGUACUGGGAUUACAGGCAUGAGCCACCAUGCCUGACCAGCAUUCCUUAUUUUUAUGUCCUUAUUGUAUAUCUUCUUUGGAGAAUUGUCUAUUCAUGUCUUUUACUUAUUUUUGAAUGAGAUUGUUUUGCUAUUGUUGAAUUGUAGUUCUUUACAUAUUCUGGAUAUUAAUUCUUUAUCAGAUAUGUGAUUGGCAAAUAUUUCCUCCUGGUCUGUGCAUUUUCUUUUGAUUCUCUUAAUAGUGUCCUUUGAUGCAAAAAAGUUUUUAAAUUUUGAUGCAUUCUAAUUUGUCAUUUUUCUUAUAUUACUUGUACUAUUGGUCACCAGCCAAGAAACCACUACCAAUUCUAAUGUCCAUAAGAUUUUCCUCAGUAUUUUCUUGAGGGUUUUACAGGUUCAAUUCUUAAGAUUAGUUCUUUGAGUCAUUCUGACUUAAUUUUUGAAAAGGGUGUAAUGGAAGGACAUGAAUUUUUUCCAGCAUCAUUCUUUUGCAUGUUGAUAUCCAGGUUUCCAGCACCAUUUGUUGAUGCACCAUCUGUUGCAGUGGGGCUGACACAUUUGUAAGAUGCAGUGAGCAUUAAUACAUGGGAGCACCAUGCAUUUAUUUACCUGUCUUUACUUCACAGUUGUUUUGAGAAGGCUUUCACUGACAGACUCAACAGAAAUGAAUAUAUAUGACUUCUUAUAAAAUCAUAUUCAAGUAAAAUUAUAAAUUUUAAAAUGUUAAGACUGGAGCAAGACUGGAACAUCACUAGACAAGCUGAAACAUAGGCUGAAAUGAAGGGUUAUGUUUACCUUGCUACAAAUUCUGUUGGCCCACAAUCUCUUAUGCUUAUUGCUUAAGAGAGCCACAGAGUGGGGUGAUAGCUCACAUAACCAGUCCCUGGUUUUCUGCUUCAGAAAGAAGUUUAAAUAUUCUGCUUAGACAGAGUAAGGAAAUUAACUGAAAGAUGUCUAAUGUGAAGUUGGCAUCUACAAAGUGAAGGAGUGAGUAGUAAGUGUAAACAUCAGGAAUCCCAGGAGAUUCUAUCUUUUUGCACGGAAAUGGCCUCACUAUGCACUGCUGAAGGGAGAAGGUCCCUUCAGGGGACCUUCAUGAUGAAGAAGAACACAAUAUGAUAUAGGAAUUUUCUGCUGCAGCCCUAAACUGAAUUGUCCUUCUCUCUAACUACAGGUCUCACAAAGUUUUAUAGCUUCAAUGAUUUCACCUGGGCCAAGAUUUUGGUUUUUUUUGAUGUUAUUUGUUUGAACUGCUGCCUGGGGCUUAGAAAAGUGACUUGGAUAUUUUGUCAAAAUGGAUUUUCUUUGAUGGAAUGUGAAAUCCGUAAACACUCUGCUUUCCUGCUGUAUCCCCAGAGCAGGUUGAGUACCUUGCACUUCUUCUCAGCACUUCGCUAGAAGUGGUAGAAGAUUUGGAGUUAGGGCCUCCCUCAAUCCCUACCCUUUCUUUAAUUCAGAGGAUCACAAACUGUUGGGAGAAGAGUGGUAUCUUGGGCCUCUAGCUGAUCUGAUGAAUAUUAAUAUCCAAUGUCCUGUAGUGAAGUCAUGUGUGCGUGUAACAUCACUUCUUCACGCAGUGUCAUAGGAAAGUGGGUUCCUGGACCCCAGGUUAAGAGCCUAAGCACUAAAGGCACAGAGCUAGAGCUCUAGGAGGGGAGGGAUGGCUGGGGUGGAACCUCGUCUUGUCAUUUAGUCCUGGGGCCUUUUCACUCCUUACAUGGUGGGUGGUGGGCGUCUGGCAGGUGCCGAUGUUGAUGGAGUCAAGGGAGGGAACUAGCCGGGACAGGGAAAAACAGGGUUGGAGAGAUAAUUAAGGUGGACGUUAUUUUUUCUGAGCGUAAGUCGUGGCUGGAAAUCUGGAGAGCCUGAAAGAGUAUCCCCCUACCCAAACCUGUUUUUUCCUUUUCCCUCAAGCCUCAUUUGGCCACAGGCCCAGUGUCAACACCAGGGGGCGCCACAGACCAUGAAGGCACCGUGCAGCUGGGAUUGUUUGUGGUCGGCUACUGGGUCCCUGACUUAACCAGGGGAGCCAAGACCCUGUAGCCAAGUGGCCUGGAUUCAACCUGCAGCUCAGGUCUUACUGACACUUCUCCCCCUGGUGCCUCAGUUUCUUAAUCUGUGAAAUGGUGAGGACAUUACAGCAUUUACCUCUGGGGCGGGUUUCUCAACAGCAGCACUAUUAACAAUUUGGGACAGAGAAUCUUGUGGAGUGGUCUGUCCUGUGCAUUGUGGGAGGUUUGCCAGCAACACCCCACUCACCCCCUCCCACCAAUCCCCAUGUGACAACCGAAAAUGUCCCAGGAUUUUUAGGUCUCCCUUGGGUCUAGAAGCUGCACUUAGGCAUUUUCCCACCUGACACUUGAGUUCAUCUCUGCUUUGGUCCACAUAAGGCCACUUUAAAAAAAUGUUGUUUCUUUAAAGAUUCUAACCAUCUUUUAAACAAAUCCAUUUUCUUCCUCUAUUUCUGCAUUCAGUUAAUCCUUCCAAACCCUUUGUUUAGUAUAUCUUGAAAUGUAUCAAUUCCUGUUCUAGUAAUUAACAUAUGUGACUUGCAUGAUAUCUGCUAUGACCCUUAGUAGAGCUCUGAUUCCUUUAGCACAGGGAAUGUGUUCUCGAUUCUGCUCUGGAUGAUGUAAAUCAAUUUAUUUUACUUUACUUGUCUGGGAUGUUGCUCCUCAUCUGUAAGAUGUAAAUGUGGAUAUGGCUUGGAUUACUAAGUGGUUUUAUUUCUUAAUUCACCUGACAUUUGUUGUGUGCCUGCUGCAAGUCAAAUACAUGGCAUGGUAUUGUUUCCUUGUUCACACCACAGCAAAUGAGAAAAUGAGACAUUAUAGCCAGGUGUGGCGGCACAGGCUUGUGGUCCUAGCUACUCGGAAGGCUGAGGCAGGAGAAUUGCUCCAGCCCAGGAGUUUGAGGUUACAGUAAGGUAUGAUAUCACCAUUGCAUUUCAACCUGGGCAACAGACCCUGUCUCUGAAAAAAGGGAAAAAGACCUUGUGAGCUGUCUACGUGUACUCUAUGUCUCAGGAGACUCAUAUCCUGUAAUUUUUCUAAAUGGCGUCUCCAUGUGGUCUUUCAUGAAUGUUUGUCUGGUAUUCUCUAUCCUUUUACUUUCAACUUUUCUUUACCUUCUACUGAAAUUAUGUCUUUUGUAAACAGCCCAUGAUUAUUUAUUUAGUUAUUUAUUUUUACCCCCCUGCACUAUUUGUCUUGUAAUUGGAGUGUCUGAGUCCAUUAUGUUUAAUGUAAUUAUUGACCUCAUUGGGUUUAAGUCUGUCCAUUGUCAUUUGCUGCCUUCUAAUAUUAUCUCUUUCUUGCUCAACUAUUUUUCUUAUGUUACCUUCUUUAGAUGAAUAAAAACCUUUGCAUUAUUGUAGUCUUCUAAGUGUCCUAAUUACACAUUCUCUUAUUAUUUCUUUAAUUAUCUGAGAAAGCAUAAUGAUCUGUGACUUAUUAUAACCAAUAGCAGACCACAACUUCCCUGACUUUCACCUACCUGUGCCCACAGCCCAGGGGAGA